CCUACGGGUGGCAGCAGUGAGGAAUAUUGGUCAAUGGGCGCAAGCCUGAACCAGCCAUGCCGCGUGCAGGAUGACGGCCCUAUGAUUUGUAAACUGCUUUUGUACGGGAGUAACGUCAGUUACGCUUAUCUUUCUGAAUGUACCGUACGAAUAAGGAUCGGCUAACUCCAUGCCAGCCGCCGCGGUGAUACGGAGGGUUCGAGCGUUAUUCGGAUUUAUUUGGUUUAAAGGGGGCGUAGGCGGUGGGUUAAGUUAGGUGUGAAAUCCCGGGGCUCAACGUCGGAAUUGCCUAUGAUCCUGGCAGGCUUGAGAGUAGGUGAGGUAGGCGGAAUUCGUGGUGUAGCGGUGAAAUGCUUAGAGAUCAGGAAGAACACCGAUUGCGAAGGCAGCUUACUAAGC
rnacentral:rRNA from 1 species